rnacentral:rRNA from 1 species
UACGUAGGGUGCAAGCGUUGUCCGGAAUUAUUGGGCGUAAAGAGCUCGUAGGCGGUCUGUCACGUCGGCUGUGAAAUCCCGAGGCUCAACCUCGGGUCUGCAGUCGAUACGGGCAAACUAGAGUAUUGCAGGGGAGACUGGAAUUCCUGGUGUAGCGGUGAAAUGCGCAGAUAUCAGGAGGAACACCGGUGGCGAAGGCGGGUCUCUGGGCCGAUACUGACGCUGAGGAGCGAAAGCGUGGGGAGCGAACAGG